rnacentral:misc_RNA from 1 species
GUAGGUGAACCUGCGGAAGGAUCAUUAACAAAUAUUCACACUGACGUGCCGUCUUUGGUGGUUGUGGUGGUGGUGUAUAUACUAUUAUUAUAUGUUGCUACUACUGCUGCUAUUUUGGGGAAGAAAUUUUCCAAAGUGGGUGGUAGUGGGGGGUGUAUGUAUGUGUGUGUAUAUUAUUAUUUACUACUGCGGAGACGGUGUCGACACACACACUUUGAUUGACAACACCUAGUGAUACUCUAGUUAACCG